AUUUAAGAUUAUUUAAAGAGUAGGUAGAUACCUAUUAAUUAAUUUUUAUUUUUAUUAACUAUCGACAAUCAAAUUAUAUUAUUAUAUAAUUUGUAUAACCUGAACCGAGUUUACUGAUAGCAUAACAUGCAAUAAACUAUAAUUAUAAUAUGAAGCAUAAGCUCUUCAUACGGAGUUAAACAAUAUAACUGUAAUGCAAUUAAAAAAAAAUAAACUAUCAUUGCUACUUUGAAUAAUUAUAAACGAAAGACCGAUUCUGAGCUGAGUAUUAUUAGUCGUGCAUUUUUUUCUUGCUAAAAUAACCCAGAAACCAACAAAAAUUUAUCUAUAAAAAAAAUAGGUACCUCGUACCUAGAUGGUGAAUUGCUGAAAAUGGCGAUAAAUGUUUUGAAUAAAAUACCACCAAACAGAAAUUCUGCAUCUUCUUAGGUACAGCGUGAACAAAUUGGAGCAUUUGCC